rnacentral:sRNA from 1 species
AGCCGUAACACUUCAUAAAUUUGUUGUUGUUGCCCAAAUGAAUUUCCCUUUCGUUUCACACUUCAAAACUCACUGAGGCCUGACCGAAGCCAAGGCCUAGGUCCAGUGCUAAAGAGCGUUGCGAAGUUUUCACUGAAACAUUAACGUAUGGAAAAGCGUUUUCGAGGUGACGCGCCGUGACAACCGAGCACACACACACACACACAUACACACACGCACAAUAAAUCUUAUUUUCCGACGAGUUGCUCAUUAAUGAAUAACGGGUCGUCGCGUUGUUAUGGCCUCCUUUCGAGCUAAUUAGAACGGGAAGAAAGUAGCUACAACAACAACAACAUGCAAAUCUUCAUUAAAAAGAAACAACAGAAUUGAACGGCAAUGUUACGGUUAUUCCAAAACUCAAUGAGUUCCAAAUUAUACCUUUAUUAUAAAUUAGUAAUAUAUUCAGCAAAGCAACAACAAAUGCAAUUAAUAAGUUGGUAAACAACUGAGAAAUGUCUCAUCUUUUCUUAUACCCUGUACUUAUUUAAAUAGGUUAAACACUAGACAUAAAAAAGGAAAAAUGAAAGCUAAAGGAAAGAGUUUGUCAGCCGACUUCCCAUUUAAUCCAAAACUUUUUUUGUAUAAAGAUCCCUUUAUUUUAAAAAUUCUAUUCAUUGGAAAAGUUACUUUCAAACGUUAGAAAUAUAAUUUCAAUUGGGAUUAAAAUGAAGCAAUGCGCGUGUUACUUUGGCCAAUAUAUAAGAGCUUUAAAAGGAGUCAUUAGCACAUUAGAUUGGUUAAAUUUUUGUAAGAGUGGGAAACAGAACAAGCAUAAGAGAGCUUUUGCUGUAAUUAACUUCCUUGGCUGUUCCAAUAUAAAAGAUUUUAUCAAGAAUUGGUAUGCAAGCACUUCAGAACAGCAUCUGCAAGCCCUGAAAAUUGCAUAAGGAUCGCACCAUAAAAGCAGAAGUUACUCAAGAUUGCAUUCUCUACCAUAUGCAACAAGCGACGGCAACCGACUGACAAAACCGCGCAACCUAAACGCGUUUUGGUCGAAAGGCAAUAUGCGAGAGUGUCAACUAGAAGCAGAGCGAGCGCAAGAGAGCGAAGAAUACCUGUGUGCGUGUGUAUUGGAGUGUGCUGCCUACCUGGGCGCCAGUGCAUGACAUGCAGCAUUGGAGCCCGAAUGUGCUGCAUGACAUGCAGCUGUCAUACAGACUGGCUGCUAAUGCUGCUUGAAAUUUUUAGUGUUGCAAAAUUAAUAAAAAUCUAGAAAGAACUGUUAA